GGCGCACAUUGUUAGGGCUCGGAGUCUAGGCCACUGGCUGGCCGGUGGCCCCACAAGCAGUGUAGGUGGUGUGCUACACAAAUGACAAGGGUCUCUGGCUCAGCGAAUGCAGUUCCAUAGUAAUCCUUGCAAGAAGG
ensembl:snoRNA SNORA62 Small nucleolar RNA SNORA62/SNORA6 family